rnacentral:rRNA from 1 species
ACGCUGGCGGCAGGCCUAACACAUGCAAGUCGAGCGGUAGAGAGAAGCUUGCUUCUCUUGAGAGCGGCGGACGGGUGAGUAAUGCCUAGGAAUCUGCCUGGUAGUGGGGGAUAACGUUCGGAAACGGACGCUAAUACCGCAUACGUCCUACGGGAGAAAGCAGGGGACCUUCGGGCCUUGCGCUAUCAGAUGAGCCUAGGUCGGAUUAGCUAGUUGGUGAGGUAAUGGCUCACCAAGGCGACGAUCCGUAACUGGUCUGAGAGGAUGAUCAGUCACACUGGAACUGAGACACGGUCCAGACUCCUACGGGAGGCAGCAGUGGGGAAUAUUGGACAAUGGGCGAAAGCCUGAUCCAGCCAUGCCGCGUGUGUGAAGAAGGUCUUCGGAUUGUAAAGCACUUUAAGUUGGGAGGAAGGGCAGUUACCUAAUACGUGAUUGUUUUGACGUUACCGACAGAAUAAGCACCGGCUAACUCUGUGCCAGCAGCCGCGGUAAUACAGAGGGUGCAAGCGUUAAUCGGAAUUACUGGGCGUAAAGCGCGCGUAGGUGGUUUGUUAAGUUGGAUGUGAAAUCCCCGGGCUCAACCUGGGAACUGCAUUCAAAACUGACUGACUAGAGUAUGGUAGAGGGUGGUGGAAUUUCCUGCGUAGCGGUGAAAUGCGUAGAUAUUGGAAGGAACACCAGUGGCGAAGGCGACCACCUGGACUGAUACUGACACUGAGGUGCGAAAGCGUGGGGAGCAAAC